GGUUCUAUAGUGUAGUGGUUAGCACUCCAGACUUUGAAUCUGGCGACCUGGGUUCGAAUCCCGGUAGGACCU
rfam:Brachypodium distachyon strain Bd21 chromosome 3, whole genome shotgun sequence.